UCUUUUUCUCUCCUCCCAAUGGUGGAAAUUGAGAGGAUGAUAAAUGGAGAAGAUCUUAACUCCUUAAAUAGACUGGGUUAUAGAUGUUUAUCCAAUGGUCCGACAUACUCCCUUAAAUAGAUGAGUCAACUCUUUUCUUACUAACGGAAAAAAUCUUGAUUGACAUUAUUUCUUCACUUUCAAUUUGUUCAUGGCAUCUCGUGAUCACUGACUGUAUAACUUUUUUUUCCUUUGAAUUAAUGUCGACAAAGUGAAGGACCACUGCGUAGCAUAACAAUUUACCACAACCAGCAUGAGUGUUAAUGGACGGUGGAAUCAGAUCCUAAACAAAGAAACAAACAAAUCAAUGAUGUCAUGACACACGUAACAAAAUCAACAUAUUCCACGAAAAGUCGAAAAAGUUUACAAAGUCCAACAACACCUUGCUGCCCAAGUCCCGUGUUCCAUGUCUUACUAAGAAUCGAUUCUAUGCAUGCGUUCCCAAUUGUGUGGGUCCCCAAAUUCUCGGAACCCCCUAUUUAUUCAACACACAC
rnacentral:lncRNA from 1 species